UACGAGAAAGUUGGCGUGCUUGAUGAAGAUUUUCGAGAGAAAAAGAGCACGGUGAAAAUGAAUUACCGCUUUUAACACGUAUCGGACAAGACUAAGUGGCGAGGAACUAACGAUAAACACGACUGUUGGCGGCUAUAAGGGGAAAUUAAUGUUCCGGACGUAACGGUAAAUGGAGUAGAAAGAAGACAAGAAACUGUGCGAGAUAAAUGGUUGCUCGGUUUGUCGAAGAAUGGCUCCUUUUACGAAAGACCGACGACGGAGUCAGAUUUACCGAAGAAAAUCCCCACUUAUCUUUCGACCAUUUCUCCAAAUUUUAACAAAUAGACGUGAUUAAUUAUCA